GUAGGGAUAGAGACAUCAAGGCUGGAGAGAUCAAGCAACACCUUGAACUCAUUAACAGAGUUCUGCAGUUUGGAUGUCAUUCACUUAAGAAAAGAAACGUCUUUGUGUAUAAUCUUUGUGUGGACACUGUCAUUUGGAAAAACUUAAGGAGAGAUUGAAGCCGAGUUGCCC
rnacentral:lncRNA from 14 species